rnacentral:rRNA from 1 species
GGCAGGCCUAACACAUGCAAGUCGAGGGGUAAGGUUCAGCUUGCUGAAUACACGACCGGCGCACGGGUGAGUAACACGUUUGCAACCUUCCUCUAACUGGAGAAUAGCCCGAAGAAAUUCGGAUUAAUACUCCAUAAAGUCAAUUUAAGGCAUCUUUUAUUGAUUAAAGCUCCGGCGGUUAGAGAUGGGCAUGCGUGUCAUUAGCUAGUUGGUGAGGUAACGGCUCACCAAGGCCACGAUGGCUAGGGGGUCUGAGAGGAUGAUCCCCCACACUGGUACUGAGACACGGACCAGACUCCUACGGGAGGCAGCAGUGAGGAAUAUUGGGCAAUGGACGCAAGUCUGACCCAGCCAUGCCGCGUGCGGGAUGACUGCCCUAUGGGUUGUAAACUGCUUUUGUUUGGGAAGAAACCCCCGAUCGUGAUCGGGGCUGACGGUACCAUACGAAUAAGCAUCGGCUAACUCCGUGCCAGCAGCCGCGGUAAUACGGAGGAUGCAAGCGUUAUCCGGAUUCAUUGGGUUUAAAGGGUGCGCAGGCGGAAUAUUAAGUCAGUGGUGAAAUCCUGCAGCUUAACUGUAGAACUGCCAUUGAUACUGAUAUUCUUGAAUAUAGUUGAGGUGGGCGGAAUGUGUAAUGUAGCGGUGAAAUGCUUAGAUAUUACACAGAACACCAAUUGCGAAGGCAGCUCACUAAACUAAUAUUGACGCUGAGGCACGAAAGCGUGGGUAGCAAACAGGAUUAGAUACCCUGGUAGUCCACGCUGUAAACUAUGAUCACUCGCUGUUGGCAAUACAUCGUCAGCGGCUGAGCGAAAGCAUUAAGUGAUCCACCUGGGGAGUACGGUCGCAAGAUUGAAACUCAAAAGAAUUGACGGGGGCCCGCACAAGCGGAGGAACAUGUGGUUUAAUUCGAUGAUACGCGAGGAACCUUUACUGGGCUUAAAUGCAGAGCGACGUCCGNCGAAAGGUGGAUUCCUUCGGGCGAU